rnacentral:rRNA from 1 species
CCUACGGGAGGCAGCAGUAGGGAAUCUUCCGCAAUGGACGAAAGUCUGACGGAGCAACGCCGCGUGAGUGAUGAAGGCUUUCGGGUCGUAAAACUCUGUUGUUAGGGAAGAACAAGUGCUAGUUGAAUAAGCUGGCACCUUGACGGUACCUAACCAGAAAGCCACGGCUAACUACGUGCCAGCAGCCGCGGUAAUACGUAGGUGGCAAGCGUUAUCCGGAAUUAUUGGGCGUAAAGCGCGCGCAGGUGGUUUCUUAAGUCUGAUGUGAAAGCCCACGGCUCAACCGUGGAGGGUCAUUGGAAACUGGGAGACUUGAGUGCAGAAGAGGAAAGUGGAAUUCCAUGUGUAGCGGUGAAAUGCGUAGAGAUAUGGAGGAACACCAGUGGCGAAGGCGACUUUCUGAUCUGUAACUGACACUGAGGCGCGAAAGCGUGGGGAGCAAACAGGAUUAGAUACCCUGGUAGUCCACGCCGUAAACGAUGAGUGCUAAGUGUUAGAGGGUUUCCGCCCUUUAGUGCUGAAGUUAACGCAUUAAGCACUCCGCCUGGGGAGUACGGCCGCAAGGCUGAAACUCAAAGGAAUUGACGGA